GAUAAGAACGCAGCGAAAUGCGAUAAGUAAUGUGAAUUGCAGAAUUCAGUGAAUCAUCGAAUCUUUGAACGCACAUUGCGCCCGCCAGUAUUCUGGCGGGCAUGCCUGUUCGAGCGUCAUUUCAACCAUCAAGCCCCCGGCUUGUGUUGGGGACCUGCGGCUGCCGCAGGCCCUGAAAACCAGUGGCGGGCUCGCUAGUCACUCCGAGCGUAGUAAUACAUCUCGCUCAGGGCGUGCUGCGGGUUCCGGCCGUUAAAAAGCCUUAUUUACCCAAGGUUGACCUCGGAUCAGGUAGGAAGACCCGCUGAACUUAAGCAUAUCAAUAAGCGGAGGA
rnacentral:misc_RNA from 1 species